AGAACGAACGCUGGCGGCAUGCCUAACACAUGCAAGUCGAACGAAGGCUUCGGCCUUAGUGGCGCACGGGUGCGUAACGCGUGGGAAUCUGCCCUGGGGUACGGAAUAACAGUUAGAAAUGACUGCUAAUACCGUAUGAUGACGUAAGUCCAAAGAUUUAUCGCCCUGGGAUGAGCCCGUGUAGGAUUAGCUAGUUGGUGAGGUAAAGGCUCACCAAGGCGACGACUCCGUUAGCUGGUCUGAGAGGAUGAUCAGCCACACGUGGGACUGAGACACCGGCCCAGACCUACCGUACGGGAGGCAGCAAGGUAGGGUAAUAGUUAGACAAGUCGGGCGCAACGCCUGGACU
rnacentral:rRNA from 1 species